GAGGGGUUGGCUCAGUGGUUAAGAGUACCUGCCGUUCUUGCAGAAGACCUGGGUUCGAUUCCCAGUACCCACA
rnacentral:tRNA from 1 species